ACGAAGGUGGCAAGCGUUACUCGGAAUUACUAGGCGUAAAGCGCAGGUAGGUGGUUAGGUAAGUCUGUAAUGAAAUCUCCCGGCUUAACUGGGAGGGGUUUAUAGAUACUGCUUGACUUGAGUGUGGGAGAGGUAACUGGAAUUCCAGGUGUAGCGGUGAAAUGCGUAGAUAUCUGGAGGAACACCAAUGGCGAAAGCAGGUUACUGGCCCAAUACUGACACUGAGCUGCGAAAGCUAGGGGAGCAAACAG
rnacentral:rRNA from 1 species